UACAAAAUUCUUAUUUCUUCUUCUUUAUUAUUAUAAUAAAUUAUUUUAUUUGUUUCCAGUGCCUUCCAAAAGGAGUAGGGAGUUGAAUGCAGCCAAGGAUGACUUGCCGGCCAUUCAUAUCGCCGCCGCCGUCUUCCGGCUGCCGGCGUCAAUGUGCGGCGCGGCGGCAAGUCGUCCUUGGCUACCUUGGGUUCUCUUCUUCUUCUGCAAGGCCCCAUGGAAACCGCUUUUAGGCCAACGCCAACUACAGAGAAAACAAAAGCACUUUGGUGGAGUCAGAGAAAAGGGCAACAGAUCCUUCUAUCUUCCAAAUUAGAAGAGAAUGACGACACAAAAUGGGUUUCUAACCCAUAGCGACACGAGCUAAGGAGUCGGGGAAAAGAGAAGAUGCAUAAUUGGCUGAUGUAAAUGACGGUGUGAGGGCGAAUUGAUAGUUUGACACAAGAUGACACAAAUGAUUUGGGAUAAACCGAUGGAGCGAAUGGCAUGGAGCGAAUCGACGGUGAUGGAUUGAGCAGAUUCGGUCGACGGUACGACGGGACAAGCAAAUCCGAUCGACGACGACGGAGAGAGAUCCAUGACGGCCAUGGCUAAAGAAGAAGAAGAGAUGAAGAUGGAUGGUUAUG